UAGUUGCCAUCAGGUAAAGCUGGGAACUCUGGGGAGACUGCCGGUGAUAAACCGGAGGAAGGCGGGGAUGACGUCAAGUCCUCAUGGCCCUUACAUCCCGGGCUACACACGUGCUACAAUGGCAGGUACAGAGGGCUGCGAAGCCGCGAGGUGGAGCGAAUCCCAGAAAACCUGUCUCAGUCCGGAUUGAAGUCUCGCAACUCGACUUCAUGAAGGCGGAAUCGCUAGUAACCGCGAAUCAGCAGGUCGCGGUGAAUACGUUCCCGGGCCUU
rnacentral:rRNA from 1 species